rnacentral:rRNA from 1 species
CGACAGGCGUAGUCGAUGGACAACCGGUUGAUAUUCCGGUACCCGCUUUGAAGCGCCAAACAUCGAAUCCAUUAAUGCUAAGGCCGUGAAGCCGCCCUGGAGUCUUCGGACAAAGGGGAGUGGUGGAGCCGCUGACCCAAGGUGGUAGUAGGUGAGUGAUGGGGUGACGCAGGAAGGUAGUCCAGCCCGGGCGGUGGUUGUCCCGGGGUAAG